rnacentral:rRNA from 1 species
CACAUGACUCUCGGCAACGGAUAUCUCGGCUCUCGCAUCGAUGAAGAACGUAGCAAAAUGMGAUACCUGGUGUGAAUUGCAGA